CACCACCACCAUCCACCACCCUCCACCUCCAGUUUCAUCCUGUUUGAGUGUCACCACCACCGCUACCACCACCGCCCUCUUCUUCGUUUCUGAAUCUCAAACUCGAAUCUGAAACUAAACGAAACCAGCCAACAUUGAAGGAGAAUCACCACCGUCAUCCUCCUUCAACCUUCUUUAACUUCUCAUUCAAAUUCACCACCACCACCAGUACCAAAUUCGUUCUCUUCAUUCUACACCACUACCACAAAAUUACCAUUGACAGUUUAACACUAUCUUCACCACUUCUGAAUCGAUUGAGCCGCCACCACCACCACUAACUACCGUAACCAGAAACACCAUCAGCACCAUCUUAACCAGCAUCAACACAAUCACCGGGUUUCAUUCAUUUCAGGGGAAUAUUGAAUGUUGAAUACUGCUCAGUUGAGAGGGUUUAAGGGAAAGGAAGGAGAUGGUAACUAUCUCAGCAUCUCUUUGUUAAAGCAGUGGUGGUUUUCCUCUAGCAGUGGGUUUUGGCUGAAAUUGUUGCGGGGUAGUUCUUCAGAUGUGAAUGAAAAAUUUGAUUUUAAGUGUUACUGCUGCAAGAAAAGUGGGGUUUCUUGCUGCGAAUCAAAAGGAACUGAUUGGGAUUUUCGAGAGAGUAAAAUCAUGACUGGUGAUUCAGCUGAUAUGGGUAAGUAGUGACUUCGUACUCUCUUGAAAUCAUGAUUAAGUGCCAGCUGCAAAGCUAGGCCCUUAUGUUGGUUGUAUUGGGGUGUAUAUGAACUAAGUUCUCAAGCAACUGAACAAUGAAGAAUAGAUGGUUAUGUCCUUGAGAUUAAAGAAGUCUAUGGUUUGUGGUGCCGGUAGUUGAGAUAAAUAAAUUACUACAAUAAGCAUCUUCCAUGGUGCGUUUUUUAGCCAAGAAUUCAGCACGCCUAUACUAAUCGAUGUUGAAAGUGCAGAAAUACGAAAUCAGCACAUCAGUGGGAUUGGGCAUGGAAAUUAGUUUUCUCUGUACAAAGUUUGGAGCCCGUUCGUAGGGUACUAUAGGAACUCUAGACCUAAAUUGAAAGCUAACAUUUUGGGUUUCUCUUAAUACCUUCAGUUUGGAAUUUUCUGUUUGUGGAAAUGCUAAAUAGAAAUUUAAUCACACGCGUUAUAUAAGCUAUCUCCUGCAAACUUCAGCUCCUUAACCCAGAUCUAUUAAUGGAGGGCAAGCUCCCUCAUUUUCGUCGAAGCCCUAGACUAAUUGAGCUGACGCGCCAAAGAGAUGUUCCACUACAAGUGCACGAAUUUUGGCUAAACAAGAAUGUGACUCAAUGUCUAUAAUUGAUAAGUAAGCAAAGAUGUUCCAAUGCUUAAUGCUUAUUAUAUGAAGAGAAUAUAUGAGGUGGUGAAAACAAGAAUCAGUGAGCGGGAAAAGACAACAACUUUGAAUUUUGUUUAUGACUUUGCUACCACAGUAACAUUUACAAGUUUAGAUCUUUUCAAAUUAAUAAGCGAACUGAUGUAGGUAAACUGGAUCGGAGUGGCAAAGGAAGCAGUAACUCUCAAGGUAAUGCAGAAAGUAGUGGCAAUACAAUAUUCAUUCACGGAAGCCCCAAAAUAGUUGAGCAAUUAGUGGAUGCUGAUAGAGAAAGAGGUGAGAAAUGCUGCCACGAGUAGUGGGAUUCAGAUAAUGAAGCAAACAGGAAUCGUUGAUAAUAACUGGAUGCUGAGAAAGAAGUACCCCAAGAAACACUGCCAUGGAUUAGUGGAUUCAGAUAACAAAAUAAACUAAAAUAAAUGUCAUCAUGUGGACCUGCAACAUAAAUAUCUCUGAGUACAGAUGCGUCCUACUGCGGAAAGGGCAAGACGGUUCAGAAACAAAUGUGAAUUGUUAAUGAAAGGGCAGGUGAUGCAACUAAAAUGAUAUGUUUUGCGGGUUUUGAAACGGAAUGGCAGGCGCAUCCCGCAUGCGGGUUAUACUAGUAUAUAUAACUAAAAACAUCUAGAUAAAAGUUUGAUAAUCAAAGCUGAUUAGAGAAAUUUAUAGAUUAUUAAUGGAGAGAGUAUCUUUCUAUCAGUUGUAUCCGAUAAGUUGGUUAAUAUUGACCAAUUUUGUUGUUGUUAAAUAUAUGAUACUUACAUUCUAGACCCCUUAUGUUAAA